CUGUUCGAGCGUCAUUUCAACCCUCAAGCCUAGCUUGGUCUUGGGCCCUGCCGGCAACGGCUGGCCUUAAUCAGUGGCGGUGCAUCGAGCUCUACGCGUAGUAAUUAAACCCUCGCGUGUGAGUCCCGGUGGACGCUUGCCAGCAACCCCCACUUUCUAUGGUUGACCUCGGAUCAGGUAGGGAUACCCGCUGAACUUAA
rnacentral:misc_RNA from 1 species